rnacentral:rRNA from 1 species
CCCUUAGAUGUUCUGGGCCGCACGCGCGCUACAAUGGCAGACUCAGCGAGUUACCUCUGUCGAAAGGCACAGGGAAUCUUUACAGUAUCUGCCGUGAUGGGGAUAGACCCUUGUAAUUUUUGGCCUUCAACGAGGAAUUCCUAGUAAACGCAAGUCAUUAACUUGCAUUGAUUACGUCCCUGCCCUUUGUACACACCGCCCGUCGCACCUACCGAUUGAAUGGUCCGGUGAAGUCCUCGGACCCAGUUGAACCUCGAGUUGAACAGGGAAAGUUGACUAAAUCUUACCAUUUAGAGGAAGGUGAAGUCGUAACA